UGGCAGGCACCGUGGCUGUCUCAACUCAAUGGCAUCAGCUCAGCUCCCCCUCCCUACCGACGGUUCCCCUUCACCUUACCUUGGCACGCUGGCCAAAUACGUCACAAGUUUCCGCAGGUCUUCCUGUCUUAUUCUGUCAUGAUUGCUUCGGGCAGGGAAGGUCAGGAUGGGUCCGCCUCGCUUAUCACGGCCCCCUGGAGGGAGCAAGAGGAGGGAAUUUAAGAAAAGCAUCCAGGAGAGUCAACUGUAGAUGAAACACAAUGUGUCUGAAUGUCAAAAGAACAGGCUACAAAGAGCAAAAAUCAGAGCAGGUUGGGGCUACAUGAAGACUCCAGUGAGGUGGGAUCAUGCUCCGGGAGCUGACUGUAUGAAAGGCCUCAGAGGCAUCAGGACGAUAUUGCCAGGAACCUUCCAGAUUCAUAUGCAGUCAGUUGUCAUCUCCCAAUCACCCUCAGUGCCCUUGCCAGGCAUGGAAGGGCAACGUUCCCUAAGCCCAGAAGCUCCUGACAGGCAUGGAUGAGUCAGGCUCGGCUCAUGCAGGCACACAGCGGUCUCUGGGAAGUUCCUACCUCCCUCAUCUGUGACCACUUUCCUGGCAAACUGCUUCCAUGAGUCCCAUAAAGGCAGCUCCCUAUCUCUUAGUGGGCUUUCCCAGGCCUGGCUGGGCCCCACUCACAUUCUUAUUGACUGUACAUAGGAAAAAUGAUCCAUAAACUAGGAGACGAGGGUCCCCAUGUCAGAACA